CAGAAGUAUAGUUAGUGCAUAUUUCCAAGUAAUAUGUAAUGCAUAAUAUAUAAUUGCUAAAGUCAUAAAAUAUCUGGUCUCUAAGCAAGUUAUAUUUAUCUAAUGACUGUCCAAAGAUCUUUAAAUUACUGUUUAAUAACUAUCCUGCUCUCUUAUUAAGGAAAAACCAUACAUGGUGUGAUAUUGUACUAUCGUUUAUUAUUUUUCUUCAGACACAGACAUGACACCAUAACAUUAAGAAGUCAUGUCUUUGGCCAUAUUCAAAUAAAUAAAAUACACUAAAAGCCGCAAUCUGUGAAAGAUCGCAGGGUUUCCACAAGAAAAUGAAAAUGUAGAUGCAGACCUCUGAUUUGUUCAGUCCCGUCAUGAACCCUUUGCAGUCUGCUCCGCAUGAGACACAAAGGGCUUUUGUGACGCAUAUGCUGUGCAUCACAAAUGGAGAGCCCCAGCCAAAGAAAAUAUACAGUUACCAGAAGAAUAAACCCAGGAUGAAAAGCACAGAGGUAGCAUCAAUAGACGUCUAAUGUGCCAUUGGCCCCAUCUGGUUAGAAUCACAUCAUCAAAAUUAGAACUGGAGUAGACCUUCCAGGUCAUCCCUGGAACACCUUGCCAACACAACAAUCAUCUUUUUGAGGACCAGGUCCGGUUCAAUAUCAUGUGUCUCAAGAGACAAGAAUUCCACGGAUUCUGUGGGCGAGAUAUUUACCAUAUUUAAAGAGACAACUGUAGUCAUAGUAGAGAUUUCAGUCAGUAAAAUAAUUGCAUUCAGCCUUUGAAAUAUAAGGCAUUGGCUUUUUUUUUUUUAAGUAGGUAUUUUCUCCAUAGAAAACAAAGAGCUUGGUGCCUGAAGAAUCACAAAUGGAACAGACACAAGAAUUGCUACAAGUGGCACACAGAUCUAAGGGAACCUCAGAACCAUGUCAAAGGACCUCACAGAAUCAGUCCAAAGAAAGUCUAUGUCAGUGUGCAGUCUUCUUCUAUGAUAAGGAAGGGGCUGAUGCAGGAGCUUGCUCAGGGGCUGGAAAAAGACAUAACCAGAGGUACAGGCUCUCACUCUAGUGAAAGCUUUGGUUCAAAUGAGGCCUUACAUGGUGGCUCGGUAUAUGUGAGACAUAUACAACAUAGAAACAGCAGCCUUUCUGAGGGAGACGUGACGUGGGAUCAAAUCAGUAAUACGGAAGCUCUGAUGCCCAAACCUACCUAUUUCAAUGGAGGACCUUGCUAUACUUCUGUGGAACCCCCAGAGUUGAUUUAAAACACGAAUUUGCAACAGUAGAGUUACUAAUCAAUUAUGUUGAGUAUUCUGUGGUGGGACACAUCAAAAUGGAGGAGGUAUUGCUCUUUAAUAAAGAAUUCUACCCAUGGAACUCA
rnacentral:lncRNA from 1 species